GUGCCAGCAGCCGCGGUAAUACGUAGGGUGCAAGCGUUAAUCGCUAUUACUGGGCGUAAAGCGUGCGCAGGCGGUUAUGCAAGACAGAUGUGAAAUCCCCGGGCUCAACCUGGGAACUGCAUUUGUGACUGCAUGGCUAGAGUACGGUAGAGGGGGAUGGAAUUCCGCGUGUACCAGUGAAAAUGCGUAGAUAUGCGGAGGAACACCGAUGGCGAAGGCAAUCCCCUGGACCUGUACUGACGCUCAUGCACGAAAGCGUGGGGGGCAAACAGGGAUUAGAUACCCUGGUAGUCC
rnacentral:rRNA from 1 species